AAAAAUCAGACAACAUUAAUUCACAGCUAUUUUGACAGCAGUAACAACAUUCAGACAACAUUGAUUUGCAACUUUUCAUACAUCAUUAAUUCACAAGUAUUUGGACCGCAGUAACAACACUCGGACAACAUUAAUUUGUACAAAAAUGGACAGCACCUAAGCACCAGUUUAGACAACUGAAUCAUCAAUAUUGACCUAAUAAAAAAUUGAACAUGAAAUAAACAGAAACUAUUUCAAAGAAAACACACAAAAAUUUUCCCAAGCUGCUUCCUACCUCCUCAAGCCUGUUCCUUGUCUUUCCCACAAUGCUCUUCACCUACCUCUUUAGCUAAACAUAACCAGCCCCAAGUUAAAAAAAAAAAAAUGGAAACAGUCACCAAAAUAAAUAAAUUCUCUUGCCGAAAUCAAAAGAUUUUUUCCAGAUACUAAAACAUGCAUAAAACAAUUGAGAAGAUAAUUUCCUCUUCUCACCAAAACUUUCGGUCCAGCUACUCAAAAUUCUGUCAAGAGUAGGCUUAUGGGGUUUACCUUGAAUUCUUGAAAAAUAAGCAACUCCUAAGCAGCCACAACCAUGGCUUCACCUACAUGCAAUCGGCCAACAUUUUUCUUUUCCACUUGAAGAGAACAAGAGAACUCACCAAGAAAGAGAAAUGAGAUUCUCCCUAACUCACGGUAAAUGGAAUGGAAAUAAAAUAAAAUUUUUAAUCCCCACUAACUCUCACUCUUGGUCGGCCACCAAUCCCUCAACAUGCAU
rnacentral:lncRNA from 1 species